rnacentral:rRNA from 1 species
GUUGAACGCUGGCGGCAUGCCUAAUACAUGCAAGUCGAGCGGACAGACGAGGCUCUUGCUUCUCUUCCGUUACCGACGGGUGGGUGAUUCAUACGAAUCUAACCUACCUUUAAGGCUGAGAUCCCUUCGGGGAACCUAAUCUCAUAUCCGUUCAUAUAUUGAACCUGAUGGUUCUUUAGUCCUCGCCCUUUUUGCUGUCCCUUAUAGAUGUUUCCUCGUCGGAUUAGCUAGUUGGUACGGUAACGGCCUACCAAGGCGACGAUGCGUAGCCGACCUGAGAGGAUGAUCAGCCACACUGGAACUGAGACACGGUCCAGACUCCUACGGGAGGCAGCAGUAGGGAAUAUUCGGCAAUGGGCGAAAGCCUGACGGAGCAAUGCCGCGUGAGUGAAGAAGGUCUUCGGAUCGUAAAGCUCUGUUAGUAGGGAAGAACAAAUGUGAGAGUAAAUCUGGACGUCUUGACGGUACCAAAAGAGAAAGCAACGGCUAACUACGUG